ACAUGCAAGUCGAGCGGUAAGGCCCUUCGGGGUACACGAGCGGCGAACGGGUGAGUAACACGUGGGUGAUCUGCCUCGUACUCUGGGAUAAGCCUGGGAAACUGGGUCUAAUACCGGAUAUGACCACGAAUCGCAUGGUUUGUGGUGGAAAGAUUUAUCGGUGCGAGAUGGGCCCGCGGCCUAUCAGCUUGUUGGUGGGGUAAUGGCCUACCAAGGCGACGACGGGUAGCCGGCCUGAGAGGGCGACCGGCCACACUGGGACUGAGACACGGCCCAGACUCCUACGGGAGGCAGCAGUGGGGAAUAUUGCACAAUGGGCGGAAGCCUGAUGCAGCGACGCCGCGUGCGGGAUGACGGCCUUCGGGUUGUAAACCGCUUUCGACAGGGACGAAGCGUGAGUGACGGUACCUGUAGAAGAAGCACCGGCCAACUACGUGCCAGCA
rnacentral:rRNA from 1 species